CCUGCCCACACCUUGAACUUGGACGUCUAGCUCCUUGAAUUAGGGAAGUGCAGACACGUCUGUGAUGUGUAGCUCCUCCCGUCUGUGGGCACAAGAACCUGCAUGUUGGAGGAAGAGGAGAACUUAGACACACCCUGAGUCAUCUCCGUGCACACAGGAGCUGGAGGCGCAGAGAGGAACCAGCUCCAGCCUGGCUGAGAUGUCUUUGUACUCCAAGAUCAGCUGUGGACUCACAACCCUUUGAUGAUGGAGCCACUUCCCCGCAGGAAAACACCAGCACCUACAAUCCAUGCAGGCCUCAGCUCCUGGCCCCCCUUCCAUGGCCUCUCUCCCAGUUCUGAGAGAGGGCCCCCUGAAUUCCCACAGUUGACUUGGAGCUUGAAAUCUGGUCCCAAUGAUAUAGCAGUGUAAUGGAAAGAGUCUUUGGAUGUGGACACCACAGCCGCUGGAUGCUCAAUCCACCACACAUCACCUCAGGAACAUCAGACAUGUCA